rnacentral:rRNA from 1 species
AUGAACGCUGGCGGCGUGCCUCAUCCCUGCCAGUCGAGCGAACGGACGAGAAGCUUGCUUCUCUGAUGUUAGCGGCGGACGGGUGAGUAACACGUGGAUAACCUACCUAUAAGACUGGGAUAACUUCGGGAAACCGGAGCUAAUACCGGAUGAUAUUUUGAACCGCAUGGUUCAAAAGUGAAAGACGGUCUUGCUGUCACUUAUAGAUGGAUCCGCGCUGCAUUAGCUAGUUGGUAAGGUAACGGCUUACCAAGGCAACGAUGCAUAGCCGACCUGAGAGGGUGAUCGGCCACACUGGAACUGAGACACGGUCCAAACUCCUACGGGAGGCAGCAGUAGGGAAUCUUCCGCAAUGGGCGAAAGCCUGACGGAGCAACGCCGCGUGAGUGAUGAAGGUCUUCGGAUCGUAAAACUCUGUUAUUAGGGAAGAACAUAUGUGUAAGUAACUGUGCACAUCUUGACGGUACCUAAUCAGAAAGCCACGGCUAACUACGUG